rnacentral:rRNA from 1 species
AGGACGAACGCUGGCGGCGUGCCUAACACAUGCAAGUCGAGCGGAGAUAAGCGGAAGGUAACUGAAGCUUAUCUUAGCGGCGGACGGGUGAGUAACACGUGGGCAACCUGCCUUGAAGUGGGGGAUAACACCGGGAAAUCGGUGCUAAUACCGCAUAACAUACACAAACUGCAUGGUAAGUGUAUCAAAGGAGCAAUCCGCUUUAAGAUGGGCCCGCGGCUGAUUAGCUAGUUGGUAAGGUAACGGCUUACCAAGGCGACGAUCAGUAGCCGACCUGAGAGGGUGACCGGCCACACUGGAACUGAGACACGGUCCAGACUCCUACGGGAGGCAGCAGUGGGGAAUAUUGCGCAAUGGGGGGAACCCUGACGCAGCAACGCCGCGUGGAGGAAGAAGGUCUUCGGAUUGUAAACUCCUGUCUUCUGGGACGAAUAAUGACGGUACCAGAGGAGGAAGCCACGGCUAACUACGUG